rnacentral:sRNA from 1 species
UGCAGGCUUGUCACGUUUAUCACUGGAAUGUUGUCCUACACAUGCUCAUCUACCUUAAAAAGACUUGUAGGGGAUCAUGAUUGGACUUGGUGUUGAAGCUGGCUGAUUGUUUUCUAAAUUGUUUGAAAUGUUUACCAAUUUUAUAAAGAAAAUUCAGUGCACAGGUCACAAUGACUUGCACUUGUCCACACCGAUAGUUGGCUGUCAUUUCCCUCACACCUCAACAACAUAAUUCAGCAACAGUAGGGGUCUGGUAUGUGUAGAAUAAGAAUUGAAAAGUUCCAUUUACUUGUGGAUACAUAUAGCUAGUUGUAUUUAUCAUAUUUGUACAGUUGUCUUAGGAAAAAUAAAUUUUCUUAAGUGUCAUCAAUGUUCUUAGAUUCCUUCAAUCAUUUUUCUAAAUAAUUUCGGGCCCAAGUUACUAAUAAGUGUGUAAUCCUUACGUUAUCGCACCAGCUGGUUUGAUGUACACUUUACAUUGGAAUUACUCUGAUAAUCACUGAGGUGCUGCAAAUGGAAAUAGAACAUGCUGAAAUGCAAUCUGGGUAUUUAAAAAAAAAACCUAUUUUGUUAACGUAGUUUGUCUGACAAAAGAAAAAGAAAAAGAAAUGUUGCAGCAAACUACCAAGCUCCUGUACGAUAAGGACAAAAACAUUUUUCAGUGGAGUGGCAAAAUGCUUAUAGAUUGGAAAGAACACCAACUGUAUAUGGCAUUAAAUACUUCAGUAGUUCUAGCAACGAAUGAUGGAGAUACUAGCGGUUAAUGUGUAUCUACCUACGCAAUGUUGUAAGUAGACCUUAAAUGGAUGUUUAGUAUGAGUUUAUUCUGAAUAAUAUAUAAAUAUACAAAUUCAUAAAGUUAUUGUUUUGAAGGUUUGAGUUAAAGCUGAUGUCU